GCUCACAUGACAGAUUCCUCUCGCGUCUCUCCACACAGCGUUCAAUCGCGGGAUUCUAGCGUCACUGAAGAACCGAGUCCGGCGCGGCAGGACGUCAACGACAGCGCAACAAUUAUUAGGUAUGAAGACAAGUUUUCAAGGGACCAGACACAUUUUCCAAUGGACUGACUGUUGGCAGCGGAAAUUCUUGAGCCGUACGAUACUGUGAGUCAUCUUCAGUCAUCAUCUUCUAAAAUGAACCGUACGCAAUCAGAAAGCGGACAGGAAAAUGGAGAGAGAGAGAAGGAGAGGAUGAAGAGAAGUGGCCCGAAGGAAUGGAAGAAGCCCCAGAGCAGAACCAGAGGGAGGGAGGGAUAACUGCUGUGACAUAAAAGAGUGAUAGAGGUAUCAGCAUUGACUGCCUGUCUAAAUAAAGACACCUUGGUCUCAGCAUUGACUCCCUGUCUAAAUAAAGACACCUUGGUCUCAGCAUUCACUGACUCCCUGUCUAAAUAAAGACACCUUGGUCUCAGCAUUGACUCCCUG